AAUGUUCCGUAUCUGUCCGUGAUAACGUGUUUGCAUAGUUGGGUCUGUGUAUCCGCGCAGACGUUGAGCAGCAGCUUAUCUCCGCUGCCGCAGCUGUAAACGAGCAGUAACUGAGCGCCGGCGCACGUGGAACCGUGUCCUUACGUAACGCGACGCACCGUCCGAGCGCAGAAAGUGACGGAUCCGUCCGGAAGCGUCGUGGCUCGGGCCCGUCGCGCUCGGACCCUGCACGCGCACGCGAGGCCGUGUUCGGGAUAAAGACGAGCUGGAGCACGCGCGCAUGCACGCGCGCGGCGCAGUCGAGGUGCGGCUUCAAGGCCACGUGUUCCACGCGGUGCCGGUGAGGUCCAGUCCCACUGACCGGGUCACAGUGAAAUGUGUUGAACACUUGUCAUCAUGUGUGAAGCAAAUCAAACGCUCACCUUUCUGUCUAAUAUAAAAACAGCCACAACGUUAAAACCACUUCUGAUAAUUGAGUCCAGACGAGCCUGAGGACGUCAGACUUGGCGGAUCCAGUGGUGCUGAUCACGUGAUAAGCGCAGGCAGAACUUGGACCUCGGCCAAAGGCUCCAGACGACGUCCUGUGUUUUCCGCCUCCGUGUUUCGGCCACUUAAUCUCCGUCUGUCACAGCGGAGUCCAUAAAAGAUGGAUUUGCUGAUCCUGAGGCCGGGGGUGACGGACGCGGCCGCUCACAGGCUCUGAUCAGCGCGGGCGCCGUCUUCACUUCCUGGAACACGAGGCCGUUUUCUGCGGAGGGAAAGUGAGACAGGUGGAAACACAGGCUUCACCUGCUGUUUGUCCUCAGCCGCUAAUGCGCCUCCGUCGCUGCUGUGUCCAGAGGAAGCAAAGCCAAGCAUGCGAUGACUCUGUCUGCAGGUAAAUCACCCACAUGACACUUAAAUGUGAGGUUUAAAUAGUCCAUUACAAUUAAUCUAAACAAUGAUGUGUGUUUGGAAUUUGUUCUAGUGAUUUAGUUUUACUAAAAAAAAUCUCCACUGUUAUUGAUUUGACUUUACAAAGCCUGACGUUCCACGGAGCUCUGUGUAUUUUUAGUCAGACCCACUGUUGAUGGAAACCACUAUAGCAACAACACAUCAUGCACGAGUGAUGGGUUUUAUCCCAACAAGUGCAUGCGUGACGUUAAGUCACAGAGUAAAGAACGUUUUGUUCACAAAAUGAGAAGGUCCAGGAUGCGUUCAACCAAAGUCUAUAAAGAGCACAGUCACAAAUGUUUAUUUUCUUGUAUUAAAAACGUCUAGACGUUUGGGUUCUAAACUAUUUUACCAGCUAUUGUUUGUUAGUUCAAAAAUGAUUUAAACUUAAAAAUAGGACCGUGUGUGUAAACUCCUACAUAUAAUUUAGGAAUGAAUGUUGUCGGGGGUGAGUCCCGCAGACAGAAUGGAAAUAAUAACAAUAUUGUGUUAAUAAGUGUUGUACUUGCAUUUAAAGACAGGACUGUAAAAGCUACAGCCAGCGUUCAGUGUGCUCCUCAGCCUCCAGCUCGCUCUGCAGGAGGUCCAGGAUCCUCCUCUGAGGGGUUUGGAGCCUCAGAGGCGGUGGAGGCGCCAGCGCCAGGCUCGUUUCAAAAGCAGUUAAGAAGGAAAUGCUGGAGAGAAGCAUGAUCGCUGUGGCUUUUGGUAACGAAUUAGAAAAAAACCUUCCCAGUCAGACUUCAGGGCCUUUACAUGUUACAUAUAUAAGGCAAAAUGAAUGAAAACUAAUGCAAACAGAACAAUCUCCAUCAUCUAACUGACACUUAGCACAGUUUAUUAUUCUAAUCAAUUCUUUAGGUUAAGGUAAGUAAUUGGAAACUAUAAUUAAAUAAAGAUUUAAUUUACAAUUUGCCUCAUGAAUAAGACAUGCUUAAACUUAGAAAUGUGUACAAAGACAAGGCUUAGGUUUUAUUGUAGGUUUUAUUCUUGACCCCAAAUAAAGAACCUUUCUAAACGAACAACAGCAGCAACCAACCAGAGCCUCCAAUUAUGAAUUAUGAAAUUUGAAAUACUCCUAAUAAUCCUUCUAAUCAGAGUGUAAAGUAAAAAAAACAGAAAGUGAGCACACCAGUAAACAUUUCAAUUCCCAUUUAAUACUCACAUAAUUUUAAAAAAAUGUACAUGUGGCUCAUUUAUUUACAUUCAGACAUGAUCACAGUUUACAUUUAUGACUUUACUGAUCUGAUACUAAAGUUCAGUAAUUGUUGAUAGUACGGACGACUGAAGGGACAGUUAUAUUUGGGUUGUUUUGUUAGUGGAGAGGAUUCACUGGCUCCCAGUUAAACUAUGAAAUCACUCAACUUUUGAUUUUUUCAUUGUUACAUAUAUCGUUUGAAAAAUAGGAUUUGAAACACUUUGGGAAUGCAAACUCUGUAUUUGAUCAACAAACUGAUUGGCUGGUUUAAAAAAAACAAAAAGAACAACUGAAAACACAUCCCUUGACUGGAUGAACCCAUGAAACCCAACAGCAGCUGAGCUAAAGGUGAAGACGCCUCAAGGUUCCAACUGCAGCCUGUUAUUAGUGUCACAUGGUUCGUACUGAAUUAAAUGAGUAUCUGAGAGUGAGGAAGUUGCAGCAUGAGCUUUAGUAUGAAGAGCUAAUCUAAAGAUGUUCUUAAUAAAGAGAGAAGAAGUAAAAAUCAUAUAAUCAGUACAGAUCAUGACGGUUCUGCCUCUUUGGGUCCAAGAAGGAAACUAGAAACAAUCCUCUCAUAUACAUCGAAAUAAAGUUUCAUUAAAUACGUUUCAUUUAAAAUUACCCUGAUGAGGAAAGGCCACGUCUUCCGUGGCUCACGCUCAUCUAAACAUACAGAAUAUAGAAUAAUGUACUAUACAGGAUGUUCAACCCAAUAGAGACUGAUGGAGUCAGUGCAGCAGGUUCAGAGCUGACAGGAAGCCUUCAGGUUUUAUUAGCAAACUAAUCACUUUAUUUCAUUUACAAAAUUACAUUAAAUACUGGAAAAAGAAAAAAAAAA